CCACCCAUACGGGUUAGCAUCUCGGCGCACGAGGAGUGGUUGGCAAGUAAGAGAGGUGCGCAAUCGACGUGUAACGCCAGUGUGCGUAAAGCGUGCGCGUGUGCAGUCCAGCGUAUCGUUUUGAAGCGCAGUCGUGCGUAUGCGUGGCCGCGGUGCAGAGAGGAACCCGACGUUGAAAGAGCAAAAGGUGCGCGCGAGCGUAGACAGAACGGCGGCGUCGAGCGCGAGCAAACGGAGUCGGCAUUGGUAAGCGCGAUUAGCCGAAAACGCGCAGUCGCGCGUCGAUCCUGUCGGGUGGGAGGUGAUCAGCUGUAAACACGCGAGGAGCGAAAUGUUCGUCCUGCAAAAGUCUAUAUUGUCAACCAGCAGCAGAAAUUGUGCAGGAUCAUGGGCUCGAAUCCUCCCAGCCUCGCACCCUGCCGCGAAGGAUAUUCAGCAGAGGGACAUCCACGAGGUGUGCGGAGACGUUGUACCGAUCAAUAUGGUGAAAGGUAUUGGUCAUUUAAGGGAUCCCCGACUUAAUAAGGGUUUGGCAUUUACUCUGAAAGAAAGGAUAUCUUUGGGUAUCCACGGUCUGCAGCCACCGAGAUUCAAAACUCAAGAAGAACAGCUGGCUCUGUGCAAGGCUUCGGUUAUGAAAUAUACCGAGGACCUAAAUCGAUAUCUUUAUCUCGUGGAACUGCAGGAAAGAAACGAGAGAUUAUUUUUCCGUCUAUUAAGCGAGAACAUCGAGCAAAUGAUGCCAAUUGUUUAUACCCCUACCGUGGGAUUAGCCUGUCAGAAAUUCGGCGUCAUUUAUCGCAGACCUCGUGGAUUGUUUAUUACAAUAUUCGACAAAGGUCAUAUUUACGAGAUCCUGAACAAUUGGCCCGAGCAAGCAGUUCGCGCGAUUUGCGUGACUGACGGGGAAAGAAUUCUUGGUCUGGGUGAUCUGGGAGCGUGUGGAAUGGGAAUUCCAGUAGGAAAAUUAGCUCUUUAUACAGCUCUGGCAGGCAUUAAGCCACACCAAUGCCUGCCAAUUACUAUUGACGUAGGCACAAAUAACGAGCAGCUCAGAAACGAUCCGCAUUAUAUCGGUCUCAACAAACCGAGAAGUCAAGGCGGGGAAUACGACGAAUUGAUCGAUGAAUUUAUGGCUGCUUGCGUGAGGAAAUAUGGUCAGAACGUUCUCAUACAAUUUGAGGACUUCGGGAACCACAACGCCUUUCGAUUCUUAGACAAAUACCGCGAUAAGUAUUGUACGUUUAACGAUGACAUACAGGGCACCGCUGCGGUUGCGGUUGCCGGAAUUUUAGCUUCCAAAAGAAUAACGAAGAAAUCGAUGAAGGAGAAUAGGUUCGUCUUCUUAGGUGCCGGCGAGGCGGCUAUCGGAAUAGCCGAUCUUUGCGUCAAAGCAUUGGAAGCGGACGGAUGCACGGAACAGCAGGCUCGAGAUAAUAUUUGGAUGAUGGACAUCGACGGAUUGCUCGUUAAAAACCGACCGGAUGGUAACCUGGAUGGUCAUAAGGUCUGGUACGCGAAAGAUCACAAGGUGAUGAAAAACCUGAUCGAUGUUGUGAAAGAAGUGAAACCGACCGUUCUGAUUGGCGCAUCGGCGGCUGCAGGAGCGUUCACUCCUGAAGUAUUGAAAGAAAUGGCCAAGAACAACGAAAGACCAUUGAUCUUUGCAUUGAGUAAUCCCACCAGCAAGGCCGAGUGCACGGCUCAGCAGGCGUACGACUUCACGGAUGGAAGAUGCAUUUUCUCGUCGGGAUCGCCGUUCGGCGAAGUGAAUUACAACGGGAAAAUUUACAAACCCGGUCAAGGAAAUAACGCGUACAUAUUCCCUGGAAUCGCAUUGGGCGUCAUCGCGACCGGAUGUCAUCACAUCACCGAGGAUUUGUUCCUUAUUUCCGCCCAAGCAGUCGCCGAUCACGUGAAAGACGAACAUCUUGAGAUGGGUAGCCUGUAUCCACCGUUAGGCACCAUUCGUGAAUGUUCGAUAGACAUUGCUAUUCGAAUUGCCAAUUACGCUUACGCGAGAACUGGAUUAGCGAGCGAAUAUCCGGAACCGAAGGAUAUACGCAAGUUUAUCGUGAGUAAAAUGUACGAUGCCAACUAUGACAGUCCACUACCAAAUGUUUAUGGUUGGCCGGGCGAUUAUGCUAACCCUCGCAUUCUGCCAGAGGUAGAGACUGUAGAAAUCCGCCACGAUUUAAAACAUCUGUAGCGGGUUUUACCGAGCGGGAUAUUCAGAGGCUAUCAUUAUUACUAUUGUCGAUAAAAAUAUCGCUGUGCCCUGAAUUGAAAAUAUAAGACAGGUCGUGGCAAAUACAGGCAACAGUGCAGUUUUAAACAGUUUUAACUAUUAUGACGUGUUGGCGAGUCUAAAGACAAGACGACUACUCUGAUGUAUACACACACGUUUUAAGUUAAUUUUAUCGAAUGCGAAAUUAAAUGUUUUGUAAAGUGGCCACAUCUAUAACCGUAGGAAACCGAAAUGUUAUCGCGUACAGUGUUAGGGAAUUGACGGUUUCAAUCGAGAUUCUUUGCUCGUCGAUAUUCAGUACUUAUUUAUUGAUAAUUUAAUUACCGUAUCUGUAUUUUGUGACGAUGUAUACGAUACCAGUAUGUAUAUGUUAUUCGCUAAUUCUAAGAUCGAAUUCUCGUGGCCUGUUUCAACGGAAACUAUUUAUUUAAUUUAUUUAUGAUCUGUACUCUCUAACGUGCCAUUUUAUGUUGGACAAGUAUUAUUGCUGCGCGUGAAACGAGUAAUGCCACGAAAUCGAGAAGGAAUUUUUUUUUUUCUUUUCUUGAACUUUCCUAAAGAGAAACCCCGGUGAAUAAUUCAUUAAAUUGCAGCAGUAUUGUCCACGGAGGCUUCCUCGAUUUUGUCUCCUGUAACCAUAUGCAUAAACGGUAUAGCUUAUUUCGCGUUAUUUGUACGCAUUUCAUAUAAUUAUAAUACAGCGUGCAAAAGAGACAAAUCAGCAUAAAGGGGCUCCAUCCGUGGACAGCGCAAGCUCAUAUGUAUGUCGCAGAUCUGUGCGACGUGAGUUAUACAUUAAGUAACUUUGUCGAAAAAGAAUGACGAACAUUCGGAUUAAAUGUUCCCAUCACGAAAAUAUUUUAACCCAUUAUUAGAUAUACUGUGUAAGGCCAUGCAAGUUGUCGCACCGUUUGUUCAAUUUAAUAACGUAUUUGUACACAUUAUGAUCAGAAAAAGAAAAACAGUACAACAUUGUAAAAGCCGUAUUUUUUGUACCACAUUGUAAUUUUCACUCUUACGUUAAGUAAUAUACGAAAUGAAAAUUGUCUCAAAAUGUUCCUGUAUGUUACAUAAAAUAGAAAACUUCGAUCGACAACAUCGAUUAGAUUAUAAUUACUGCCACGCUACAGGCAUAAAGCGACACCUGUCGUACGAACUAUUGCGGAUUCACACUAUGUUUGCAUAAAAACCAUGUCGCGGAUGUAGGAGCGAGAAAAGAACGGAAAUUAUAUUAUCCAAACGUAACUCCUCGCUCAUUGAAAUUUGUUACUGUGCGUAUAGACUAUACACUAAGGCUAUUAAUAAAUGUUAAUUCAUGAUCGUUA